GAUGAACGCUGGCGGCGUGCCUAAUACAUGCAAGUCGAGCGAACGGACGAGAAGCUUGCUUCUCUGAUGUUAGCGGCGGACGGGUGAGUAACACGUGGAUAACCUACCUAUAAGACUGGGAUAACUUCGGGAAACCGGAGCUAAUACCGGAUAAUAUUUUGAACCGCAUGGUUCAAAAGUGAAAGACGGUCUUGCUGUCACUUAUAGAUGGAUCCGCGCUGCAUUAGCUAGUUGGUAAGGUAACGGCUUACCAAGGCAACGAUGCAUAGCCGACCUGAGGGGGUGAUCGGCCACACUGGAACUGAGACACGGUCCAGACUCCUACGGGAGGCAGCAGUAGGGAAUCUUCCGCAAAGGGCGAAAGCCUGACGGAGCAACGCCGCGUGAGUGAUGAAGGUCUUCGGAUCGUAAAACUCUGUUAUUAGGGAAGAACAUAUGUGUAAGUAACUGUGCACAUCUUGACGGUACCUAAUCAGAAAGCCACGGCUAACUACGUG
rnacentral:rRNA from 1 species